rnacentral:rRNA from 1 species
AGAGUUUGAUCAUGGCUCAGGACGAACGCUGGCGGCAUGCCUAAUACAUGCAAGUCGAACGAUGAAGCACUCUGCUUGCAGAGUGCGGAAGAGUGGCGAACGGGUGAGUAACACGUGGGGAACCUGCCCAUAAGAGGGGGAUAACAUCCGGAAACGGGUGCUAAUACCGCAUAGGUGAUCAUAGCGCAUGCUUAGAUCAUUAAAGAUGGCUUCGGCUAUCGCUUAUGGAUGGCCCCGCGGCGUAUUAGCUAGUUGGUAAGGUAAUGGCUUACCAAGGCAGUGAUACGUAGCCGACCUGAGAGGGUGAUCGGCCACACUGGGACUGAGACACGGCCCAGACUCCUACGGGAGGCAGCAGUAGGGAAUCUUCCACAAUGGGCGAAAGCCUGAUGGAGCAAUGCCGCGUGAGUGAAGAAGGUCUUCGGAUCGUAAAGCUCUGUUGUUAGAGAAGAACAAGAGGUGUAGUAACUGGCACCUCCUUGACGGUAUCUAACCAGAAAGUCACGGCUAACUACGUGCCAGCAGCCGCGGUAAUACGUAGGUGACAAGCGUUGUCCGGAUUUAUUGGGCGUAAAGCGAGCGCAGGCGGUCUUUUAAGUCUGAUGUGAAAGCCCACGGCUCAACCGUGGAUGGUCAUUGGAAACUGGAAGACUUGAAUGCAGAAGAGGAAAGUGGAAUUCCAUGUGUAGCGGUGAAAUGCGUAGAUAUAUGGAGGAACACCAGUGGCGAAGGCGACUUUCUGGUCUGUAAUUGACGCUGAGGCUCGAAAGCGUGGGGAGCGAACAGGAUUAGAUACCCUGGUAGUCCACGCCGUAAACGAUGAGUGCUAAGUGUUGGAGGGUUUCCGCCCUUCAGUGCUGGAGCUAACGCAUUAAGCACUCCGCCUGGGGAGUACGGCCGC